AAUUACACAUUUUUUGUGUUUUUGGUGCAUUUGCAAUUUAAAACUUGAGGGAGGAUGGGUAAGCAGAAAAAGAACCAUUACCUAAAUGGAAAAACAAAAGGAAUUUACCGUAAAAAUGCUGCUAAAAUGUGGCAAGUAAUAAAAUCUAAAAUUGCGAAAUCUGCGGACGAAUCAAAUCCCUUACAGAGUAGUGCGGCCGCAGAGAGUGCAGAUGUAAAUAGUCUACCAAUGUCAGAAAAUCCAUUAAUGAGCUCGGGUAAUCCAGACAAUGAAAACUUUCAAAAUGUUACAUGUAAUCUUAUCGACGAGAAAGAAGAAAGAAAUGAACCGAGUAUAAAAGGCUAUCGCAUUGUUGAUUUCAUGUACAUGUUUGAGCAAUGCAAAGAACUUGCGCACCACAAUUCUCCAUUUGGUUGCAAUUUCAGCAAUUUAAAAAUUACAGGAGAACAGAAAAACGGUUUUCAUUCCAACUUUAACUUGGUAUGUCAAAUGUGUAAUGCAAAAUUAAAAUUGGAAAAUUAUAAAUGUCUCAAAAGCAG